rnacentral:rRNA from 1 species
CCUACGGGAGGCAGCAGUGAGGAAUAUUGGUCAAUGGCCGGGAGGCUGAACCAGCCAAGUCGCGUGAGGGAAGACGGCCCUACGGGUUGUAAACCUCUUUUGUCAGGGAGCAAGGUGCAGGUCGGGACCGGCUGUGAGAGUACCUGAAGAAAAAGCAUCGGCUAACUCCGUGCCAGCAGCCGCGGUAAGACGGAGGAAGCGAGCGUUCUCCGGAUGUAUUGGGUUUCCAGGGGGCGCAGGCGGAGGCACAAGUCAGCGGUAAAAUCGCGGGGCUCAACCCCGCUCCGCCGUUGAAACUGUGUCCCUUGCGUGCGCGACGGGUAGUCGGACUGCGUGGUGUAGCGGU